rnacentral:lncRNA from 1 species
ACCAACCUUAACCUGUGCAUGGGUCUUACUCUUCCUCCUCUUGGUCACUUUGGGACCUAACCUCCAAACCUGUUCCUUACCACUUCCUAGAUAGUCUUGUAAGCCCAAGGACAGGCAAGCCUUUGCGUGUUCUCUGACUUCUCAGGGAUAGAGCUGAGGCCUUUGUGGUCAGAAGAACCUGGAGGGGCAGGCUGAGGAGGGUUCUCUCUGUCUUCCCUUUCUCAGCAUGGGGGGAUGGAGCUGGAGCUGGCAGGUCACCCAGGUCCCUCAGGAAAAGGCAAACUGCUGGGUCCUGGGUGUCUUUAAUGGUACUUGUGUGUGUCAACCCCAGAGAGAAGGGUCGCAAGGAAAAAGAGUCCCUGCAGCAGCUGGCCGAGGUCACCCGAGAAGGGUUCCGUCUCAAGAAGAUACUCAUUGAGGAGUGGAAGACAGCUCGGGAAGAAAAGCAGAGUAAGCUUCUUGAGCUUCAGGCUGGAAAGAAGUCUCUGGAAGACCAGGUAGAAACGCUGCGGACAGCGAAAGAGGAAGCAGAGAGGCCAGAGAAGGAGGCCAAGGACCAGCACCGGAAGCUGUGGGAAGAGCAGCAGGCUGCUGCCAAGGCCCGGCGGGAACAGGAGCUGGCAGCCAGUGCCUUCCAGGAACUGGACGACAACAUGGAUGGGCU